rnacentral:rRNA from 1 species
CCCUUAGAGUUUGAUCCUGGCUCAGAACGAACGCUGGCGGCGUGGAUAAGACAUGCAAGUCGAACGGGACAGUUUGGUAGCAAUAUUGAACUGUUCAGUGGCGAACGGGUGCGUAACACGUGGGUCACAUUCCGGGAAGUGAGAAAUAGCCCAGGGAAACUUGGAUUAAUAUCUCAUGUGGUCGCAAGACUAAAGGCGCAAGCCGCUUCCUGAUUGGCCCGCGGCCUAUCAGCUUGUUGGUGAGGUAAUGGCUCACCAAGGCGACGACGGGUAGCUGGUCUGAGAGGACGACCAGCCACACUGGAACUGAGACACGGUCCAGACACCUACGGGUGGCAGCAGUCGAGAAUCUUUCACAAUGGGGGAAACCCUGAUGGAGCGACGCCGCGUGGAGGAUAAGGUCUUCGGAUUGUAAACUCCUGUCAUGCGAGAACAAAGCCCGCAAGGGUCUGAUAGUAUCGCAAGAGGAAGAGACGGCUAACUCUGUGCCAGCAGCCGCGGUAAUACAGAGGUCUCAAGCGUUGUUCGGAAUCACUGGGCGUAAAGGGUGCGCAGGCCGCGCGGGCAGUCAAAUGUGUAAUUCAGGGGCUCAACCCCUGCACUGCGCUUGAUACUUCCGUGCUAGAACUUUGGAGAGGAGUCUGGAAUUCUCGGUGUAGCAGUGAAAUGCGUGGAUAUCGAGAAGAACACUAAGGGCGUAGGCAAGACUCUGGACAAAUGUUGACGCUCAAGCACGAAAGCUAGGGUAGCGAACGGGAUUAGAUACCCCGGUAGUCCUAGCUGUAAACGUGCA